rnacentral:rRNA from 1 species
GAUGAACGCUGGCGGCGUGCCUAGUACAUGCAAGUCGAGCGAACAGACGAGGAGCUUGCUCCUCUGACGUUAGCGGCGGACGGGUGAGUAACACGUGGAUAACCUACCUAUAAGACUGGGAUAACUUCGGGAAACCGGAGCUAAUACCGGAUAAUAUAUUGAACCGCAUGGUUCAAUAGUGAAAGACGGUUUUGCUGUCACUUAUAGAUGGAUCCGCGCCGCAUUAGCUAGUUGGUAAGGUAACGGCUUACCAAGGCAACGAUGCGUAGCCGACCUGAGAGGGGGAGCGGCCACACUGGAACUGAGACACGGUCCAGACUCCUACGGGAGGCAGCAGUAGGGAAUCUUCCGCAAUGGGCGAAAGCUUGACGGAGCAACGCCGCGUGAGUGAUGAAGGUCUUCGGAUCGUAAAACUCUGUUAUUAGGGAAGAACAAAUGUGUAAGUAACUAUGCACGUCUUGACGGUACCUAAUCAGAAAGCCACGGCUAACUACGUG